GCUGCAUUCCCAUAAAUGGGCAUUUCUCAUGAACACUGUCCGUGUUCUCCGCGUUAUUUUUACACCAGGCCACACCUCCUUGUGAACAAUUGGCUGGUAUGAGUAAUGUGUAGUCUGUGAUUGGAGAGUUAAAAUGUCGUUCACGUUGUUUAACCAAUAACUUGAAAGAGUAGUGAAUGAAGGGCGUGGCUUGUGGGAACACUGUUGGAAGAAUUGGAUUCCUGGCGCAACAAGGAGCUGAAGAUGGCGGUCAUCCACUGAGAAUGGACAGGAAGACUGGAAUUAUGAGGACAUGGAGAUGUUUAUAUAAAGAUCUGUUUGAAAACAAUAUUUUAUCAUAACUUAAAAGAAUGGGUUAUAAUAUAUACAGUAUACAAACUAUCAGACUUAUUCUGAUUUUUUAAAAGUAAAAACAUACUGCAAGAACAUGAUAUAUAAGAACAAUCUCAUAUGAUAGCAACUAUUGUGCAUAUAUAGAGUUUGGUAAAUAAAAUUGUACUUGUUGUAAUCACUUCUUGCUAUUUUAAAUAAAUUAUUGUGCUAAAUAAAUGAUUCGCAAAUCCU